rnacentral:rRNA from 1 species
UACGGGGGGGGCAAGCGUUGUUCGGAAUUACUGGGCGUAAAGCGCACGUAGUCGGCUUUGCAAGUCGGUUGUGAAAUCCCCGGGCUCAACCUGGGAACUGCAUCCGAGACUGCAUUGCUAGAGUAUGGGAGAGGAAAGCGGAAUUUCUGGUGUAGCAGUGAAAUGCGUAGAUAUCAGAAGGAACAUCAGUGGCGAAGGCGGCUUUCUGGACCAAUACUGACGAUCAGGUGCGAAAGCGUGGGGAGCAAACAGG